UGAAAACCAGAGCCUGAGAUUUUGUCAAGUGAGAGAGUAAGGAGGUCGCCAUUGUUAAGUAUUUUUGCUCUGCCAUCACCCCAUGUAAUGUCGAAUUCUUGAUCAAACUUGGCCCCAAUUGCAAUGCCAAAAGCACUAAUCAUAAAGCACAUUACUAGUACUAAUUUAGAAGAAGAAGCCAUGUUUAACUGUUAAUAUUUCAAAGUUUGUUGGAUGAAUUAGAAUUGGAUAGUUAUAUGGGGUUUUAUAGGGGUUUAUACCACCCCAACCUCAGCAAUAAAGAAGUAGGUAGAGCAGAGCGUGUGGGGUUAGGCUUGAGGAAGCAAAGAGGAAGGUUGAGUAAAACAGAAAACAAGGAAAAAAAUAAAGAUUUUGAGCUGGAAACAGGAUUAAAGUGACGGCAUCAAAGCUAAGUGACAGACAGACCAUAUAUUAUACUUUCACUCCUAAUUAUUUGGCUACUGUGUUAAUUAUUGAUGUAAUUAAUUUACAAUAAGUGAAUGAAUAAAACAAUUAAAAUUUUCAAUAAAUUUUAUUUUUAAAAAAAAAAAAUAUAUAGUCGAAGAUAUAAUAAGUAAAAAAAUUUAAAUUUAUUUUAAAAAAUGAACAAGUAGAGGGAGGGUGGAUAUUUCCAACCGUCAAAUUAUAUUUAAAUAGCUGAUAAUUUUAAGAGAGAUAAUUGUGUAUAUUUGUAAUUUUGCUUUAAAUUAUUUUUAUUUUUUAAAAUAAUUUAAAAAUAACUAAAAGGUCAAAAAUAUAAAGUGACAGUUCAAUUUAUGUCCUAAAAUAUAUUUCUUAAUAGGGUACAUCCUCUCAAAAAUUUAGUUAAUACGAACUAUAGGGAGUAUAACCUAGUAAUUAGAUAGUAUAGUAAUUAUAAUGAUUUGCUUAUUUGGCAUGAUUUGAUGAUAGUGUACUUAAAAAUAUAUUUUUUGAUUGCACAAAUAUAAUUAUAUAAUUAAGGGAAAAUGCAUAAGUAUCUUCCUAACCUAUGUCCCAAAUUUCAGAGACAUAUUUUGUUGGAAUUCUGACCCUCAAAAUUGCCUAAGGAACAAGUUUAUCUUAUAUGUUCCUUUGCAUAUUAUAACAGUUACAUUUUGUGAAGCAAAUAAAAUAAUAACACAAUAUUUUAUUGCGAAAAACCCCAACUUUUAAAUGUAAUAACCACGAUCUACACCUCCAUAGAAUUAGCUCCAUUUUAUUAAACUUCAAGUCUCAACAAAAGAUUACAAAGUUAUGAAAUCUAAGAAAUUAUAAACUCUAAUUCCUAGCUAAGAAAUUAUAAACUCUACUUUCUAGCUACCCAAAGACAUAGAACCCCCGGUUUUAUAUCUUCUAAUGUUGUUCAAGUUCUACAACUUGUCGAACAACUCCUACUCACAAAACUCAUAUUGUAAUCAAAACUCUUAAUUACAAUCUUACAGUUUUUCCUCACAAAUUGUAAUAUUCCCAAUAAAUCUCAAAACUCUCUCAAAUCUCUUGAUCGUGUGACGAUCUUUUCUCUAUGUAAGUGCGCAAUUUUUCUCAAACGAAACUAUCGCCUAUUUAUAGAUUUGGAAUUGAAUCAAAAACCUAUUUCAACUAGAAAUCCUACUUUACGUAGGACUCCUCUUUUGUGUGGAACCUAGUUCAACUUGAACUUGUCUUCGCCGCAUCUUCAACUCCUUGUCUGAAUCAACAUUGUCUUUGCCUCUAUAAAACCUUGUUAAGUUCAACUUGGAUUCUUUAUCAUUGUUUCUCUUUGCCCAACCGCUUCUUUGUUCUUCUUAAACUUAUGCUGUAAACUAACAAUCAAUUUUCCUUAAUUAAAUAAGAAAACCUUACACAAAAUUUCCUUAAUUAAAUAAGAAAAACCUUUCAAAAAAAUUUCCUUAUAUAUUCCCAUAAAAGUUUCCUUAAUUAAAUAAGAAAAUAUUAUUGAACGCUAUUUUCUUUUUCAACUUGGUUGCGAACUCCUUUAUAAAAGGAAAUUUUCUGUACUGUUGCUUGUCGAAAAAGCAAUACUUCCACAACUUUAUAUCUUCUAAUUUGCGAGGUUGACUUUCUCCUUAUCCAAGUUGGAUUCGGUCUGUAAGAAACACGUCAAACAAGCCGUUUCUUUCAUUUGUUCUUGUAUUUUUCAAUUAUCAAAAUCUUUCUCAUUUGUUCUGUACUCAUUUCAUAUGUGUACAUACAUUACGAACACAACAAAUAAUACACACAUCUUCCGUUUUUUGACAUGUUACUGCUACAACUUCUUAAUUUUGUCAUACUUCAAAACAACGAGAAUUUAACACACUUACACUACACUAAAGUCCUAUUACCACCCUAAACUUAUUUUAUAAAUAAUUUUUACCCCUUUUCAGCCUAUGUGGCACUAGCUUUAAAAAAAAAUGUCAACACGCGGUGGUUCCACAAGAUAGUGUCACGUAGGUCUAAAAGGAGAAAAAAUUAUUUAUAAAAUAAGUUCAGGGGGAUACUUGUGCAUUUUCCCUAUAAUUAAUUAUGAGCUAGUGCUUGACUCCAAAUUUUCAAAUAUGCUUUGCAAAUCAUUUUUAGGUGAAGUUUCACCAUGUGUUUGACCAUAAAUUUUGAGAGAAAUAUUUAACUAUUUCAAAAAAUAUAAUUUAUACUCAUAACAAAAAAAAACUAUAAUUUUGUAUUAUCGUUUUAAAAUGAACAUAUUCAUUAAAAUAUAGCCCUAUAACAUAAUUGAUAAGAAAAACAACAAACAAGUGUGCAUGAGCAGAACCAAGAAAGAGAAGAUCCAGAGAAUAAAAUCUAGAAAUUGCACCAAAAGAAAAUAAAAUAAAACACACCAAACAAAAGAGAUGAUUCAUAAAAGUACAAUGAACAAUGAACAAACAAUUACAUAAAAAGAAAACAAACCGACCAAAACAACAAAGGGAAAACGAAAAACCUACCAAUUUUGAAGUUUCAAAAAUUUGAGGUGUAGAAGUUAGCUGAGAAGGCGAUGGUUCACUUUCUAUUCGUUUGAUUUUUGUAUAAAUCUAAAGAUAAACAUGCAAAAUUAAUACAAAACCCUCCACCACGUGUUGAACAAUCAAUAAAAGAAAAAGAAAAAGAGUCAUGAUACUUGUAAAAAGGUAUUACGAGCAAUACCUUAAUUGCACAUUUAAACUUAUCACUGAUUAAGAAUUAAUUAUUGGAAAAAUUACAUAAACAAAGACCUUUUAUUUUAUAAUUACCAAUUUUAAGUACACUUUUUAUUUAUUACUAUUUUUGUCAACUUUUAGCUAUAUUAACUUAAAACAAUUUAAAACCCAUUUAUUCCUUUUUUAUACAAAUUUUAAACAAAGUUCAUAUCCUUUCUCGCUCUUUUUUUUUCUUUCUCCUUCUCCUCGUCAAAAAUUAGGGUUCCUGUUUGCUUUUUUUCUCCAUUUUUCUGCACGAAUCUUAAUGGAAGAAGGUCUUAGAAGAAGUCCGCGUCUAGUGACGGCUUCGAAUCGAAAAGUUUAUCGAAGAAAUCGAAAGAAGCUUCAAGUUUCGUCUUCUAAUUCUAUGGAUGAAAUUCCAAGUUUUAGUUUGGGUAUAUCACAAAUUUCGGGAGAGAAGAACAAUGAGGAGAAGAACAAUGAGGAGAAGAACAAUGAGGAAGAAAACAAGAAGCAAAAGAAAGGUAAAAAACGAGUUAAAGAGGUUAAAACAAUGAAGAAAUCAAAAAAAAUAUGUGUUACUUUGGCAUCUACAUCAAAGAAAAUCGUUGACAGUGAUGAUGAUUUUGAGGAUUUACCUCCUCAAUUUCAGUCAAAAAGUUUGAAAAAUAAAGAUGGAUUGGAGAAGAAAAGGCCGGUGAAUGAUGGAAAAACACGAAAUCGUUUACCCAAAAGUGUCAUUCUACCAGAGAGUAGAUAUCCGGUAUGUGCUAGUACUUCUUAGUUAUUUGUUGUUUAGCAAUGGGUUGUAUGUUGAUUGCUGCUUGUUUUUUAGAUGUAGUAUGUGAAAUUAUCUUUAAUUCAACUUUCAUUCAACUUUAAUUCAUAUUUAAUUCAACUUUAGUUGAACUUUAAUUCAACUUUAAUUCAACUUUAAUUCAUUUUUUAUUCAUCUUUAGUAUGUAAUAACACAUUUUUAAUUCAUGUUUAAUGCAUAUGCAGGAUCGUAAAUUCUGGAAACAUCCUGAUGUUGUGUAUAUUUCGAGUAGGUGGUCAUGUUACACUAAUCAUAGUGUCAUUGAACAAAUCAAACUAUCUUUAUCUGAUUAAUAACUUGAGAUGUUUAGGAAUACAUGUUUUGGGUACUUUCUUGACCUUCCAAAAUCAAGCACACAACUACAACUUAUUCAUUGUCUUAUAAAUAGAGAGUUAAAACACACACCGGAUGAUGUGUUUGCUAUUGAAAUAAAUAACAAAAAGUUAUUUUUUGGUCUUAGAGAAUUUGGGAUAGUUACAGGCUUAAAUUGUGUUGGUGAUGGCACAUCUAUCAAUGUUCCCAAUUCUAGAUGUAGUUUGAUGAGUAGUUAUUUUCCGGAAAAAAUCACAGUUCCAAAGAGUCAUCUACGUGCACUGUUUUUAGCUAAAAAAAUUCAUAGAUGAUGACUCGGCUGUUUCAUUGGCUGUUCUAUACUUCAUUAAUGAUUUUUUAUUUUCAUAUGAGGACAACGAAUACCAAAUUAGCAAUAGAGAUUUUUACCUUGUGGAAAGUGGAAAAUUCAAUUCAUAUCCGUGGGGUUUAGAUGUCUACAAAAAGUUGUCUGAUUCUGUGAGGCAUGAGCUUAAGUCAACACAUAAGUACUAUAGAAUUGGUGGCUUGCCUCUUGCUCUUCAAAUUUGGAUAUUUGAGUGUUGUUCAAAGGUUGAUGAAGAUAUAGCUAUUCGUGUUGCUGAUUCUAUUCCAAGAAUCUUGAAUUGGAAGACAAUUGCAGAAAGUCCAUGGUUAAAAUAUAUUGAGAAAUGUCUCUUCAUGCCUACAAAAAACAAGGUAUUUGUACAAAGUUAAUACAUUUUAUUACAUUGUUUAUUUGAACUCAAGUUACUAUAUCUAAUGUUAUUUUGUGUAUUUGGUUUUUCAGUUUGAGAACAUAGUGGCCAGUGAAGAUGAAGUAUCCAAAUUCAGGCUUCCUGAAACUCGUGAUUACCAUGCUGAAAUUUUGAAAUUGGAGCCUAAAGGAUCAAAUCAUGGUCUAGACAUUUUGACCAAUGAAGUCAUAGAAUUGAGAAAAGAGCUUGUAAAAGUAUACACAAACUAAACUUUAGGCUUUUUAUUUUAAAACUGUUAUUUUUUAAUAUUUUCGUUAUGAUUUAAUAUCUAUUAGGUGAAUGAAAAUAACAAAGCGCUUGAAGAGAAGAUUGAUUUAGGAUUCAAUCAAAUCAAAGAAUUUGUGGUGAACUCAAACAAACAAUUAUUGGAGGAUAUUUCUUUGCUGUUUGCUAAGAGUGGUGGUAGCAGCUCUGUUAUUCGAGAAGUUAAGGAACCAUCUAAGAAGCAUGCUGACGAGACAUUUUCAGGUGGAUUAGAUUUUAAUGGAGGUUCGUUUAUAUUUUCAGUAAAUUUCUGUUAUAUUCAUAAUAUAAUUUUAAUAUAUAGUUUAGUAUUUUCUUCCAGUUAAUCAAUAAAUGACACGAAUUCGAUAUUUCAUUUUUCAGUUAACUUUGAUAUGUUUUUUUUAAUAAUAUGUUAAUUACAUAUACAGCAUUUUCUCCCCGUGUUAAUGCAUCUGUAAAUGAAUCGAGAGGGAACGAUGCUCAUGUUAUGGGAUCAAAUCAAAAUGAAGAAUCUCAAGUGCUUAAAGCUACAGUUAGAUUUGCUGAUGUUGAAAAUCUUGAAAGAGUAUCAAGUAAAAUAGGUAAUGAAGGAUUUUAUACAAAUAUAUUACAUAUUUCAUAUAUUUUAAUUCAAUUCUGUUUUUUUAAAUGUUCUUGUUAUGUACAGAUGAAGAUGUUGCAGGAAUUGUUAUUGAAAAAGUUCUAUCAGAGGUUGUUGCUGAUAUAAAUGGUAUUCAUUUUCUUAACUUCAACUAAACUUCUUUCGAUUUAUUUUGAUAACAUUAUUAAAAUAUUUAUUUGGCUUACAGUCCAAGAGGCUGCUGAUGUGAAUACAGUUGGGGCGAAACCUGAUGGUAAUGUAGUAAAAAAAACCAACAUAAAUAAGUGUUGCAUCUGUUGAUUGUAAAUUAAUCAAUAUAUCUAUUAUAUGCAGAUGCAACAGAGGAUUGUCAAAAACCUUUGCAUACUUUAGAUGACUUUAUUUUACUUGAUAAAGAUCUUUCUCAGAUCAAUAGGACUGAAGAAUCUUAUCUAAAAAAAAGAGCCCAAGUUGAUCAAAACAAAAAGAAAGUGUCACCGAAGAAACGUGGCAGAAAGAAAAAUCCAGGAAAGUUAAUAACAUCUCCCUUCACACAACAUUUUGAAUCUGGAGGAACUUUAUGUGUUACACGUCAGGUUUUUGAGACAAAACAUCCUUUUUUAUAUGCAAGCGGAGGAGAUGAUGAAUCUGAUUUGAUCGAUUCAUUCACUAAGUGGCUUUAUAUGGGUACAAAAAAGAGGUAAUUUAUUUUGAUGUUUUUGGGAUAAUUUUCCUAAUUCAUAAUAUAUACAAGCUUAAUUCAACUUGUGGAACGCUCUGUACCUCUUUUUUAGUUUCGUAUUUGCCUCUUUUUUAGUUGUUCCUGUCUCGGUUUUGAGUAUUUAUUUAUUUUUGUUCUGUUUUGAUAGGGGAAAGAAACCUUAUACAGAUGCUCUUAAUGUUAUCAAUCCAGCAUUUGAAUUGGGUGUCUGUACAGUAGAUGAAAGACUCUGGUUUUUCAAAUUGGCACAUUCUGGACAACAAUGGUGUGAUGAGGUUUGUUAUAUAAAUUUUAGUUGGACGUUAAUAUUUCUUUGAUUCGUUCUGUUUCUUAAUCUUGAGUUUGUCUUUGUCUCAACUAAAAUUCUUUCUGUUUAGUUGUGUAGAUAGAUUGUAUUUUUCAUCUAUUGAAGCUCUUUAGUUGUGUGACAUUGUAAUUCUAUAGCUUGCAAGUCAUUUUUCUUUCUGUUCUUGUUCCCUUUGUCUCUGUCUUUCAAGAGGGACAAAAGCUCAGGAUAUUGCGAAAAGAAUGAAACUUGUAAUCAUGUUCUUGUUAUUUUAGCUUCAAUUCUUUUCUUUUGAGGUUCAUUGUAUCAUUAAGAAUCCACAUAUAUGCAUAUACAUGAGCUAGAAUAUUAUAUAAAAUAUGUCAGCUUCAGUAAGUUACUGUUGUCUCUAAGUUUUUUCUGGGUAGAAAUUGAACAUCUUCAUAAGUUCUAUCACUGUUGUGUUUCACCAAUAUGUGAUGAAUGAGCCACACUUGGGGCGAAAACAGAGUUUUACCUUAACUUUGAGUUGAAAUUUCUGCACUGUUCUUUCACUAUUCUGUUUCAUAAGUUUUUUUUUUUUUGCAGCAUAUUGAUGUCAUUUUCUAUUACCUAAGAAAGAAAGGAAAAUAUGAUACCAACAGUAAUGUUCGUUUUACGACGACUGAUUGUGUUUUCAAGACAAAGAUUACCAAUUCUUUCUUUAAACUUUGUGAUGCUCAUGAGGAUAAGAAAAAUUUUAAAGUUUUAGAUUCUGAUGAUAUUGCCCGGUAUAUCAGUGGACGUCGUUUGUUGGCAAGUACCUCGUGGGAUAAAGUGGAUUUUGUUCUUAUUCCACUAAACAUUAAAGAGAAUCGUCACUGAAUUUUUGUGGUGUUUGAUAUUGGGCAAAGGUCAUUGGAGGUGUAUGAUUCAUUUCCGGCUAGGGGUGGGGUGAAUUUAGAGGUAAAAAAUAUUGUUGAGAUGCUUUCGGUUGUUUUACCAUAUUAUCUAAGUGUGGUUAAGUUCUAUGAUAAGCGUCCUGAAUUGAAGUCAACACCAAAAUACAGUGAGAUAAAUGAGUUCGAGAAAAUUGAGUUUCAUUUCAUAACUAAAGAUGUUCCCAGACAAAAUGAGGAUUCACUGUAAGUAUUAUUAAAUAUGUGUUUUUUUUAGUUAUUAAAUUGAUUUUUUGAUAAUAAUUUUAUAUUGAAUUUUGUAGGGAUUGUGGAGUUUUCGUUGCUGCAUUUGCGGAGUUUGUAAGUAAUGGCCAACAUAUUCAAAAUCAACAAGUAAAGGCAGACAUUGUCCGAAAGAGAUUUGGAGCUAUAUUAUGGGAAUAUGCAAGAAGGAAGCAAGCGAGUGACCUUCAAAGUGAAGACGAAAGACCAGUUAGAUAAAGGAAUAUAGUUAUAUUAGUUAGUAUGACUAUGAAAACUAUAUAAUGUAAAACAAUUUGUAGUUACUAUGGCUAUGAAAAAUUGUAUUGGUCUAUUUUGUAAGUCUUGAUAUUAUAUACCUAACUGUGUUGUUUAUAUGUAAGUCUUCUAUUUGAAGUUGUUCCUUCUUUGUGUCCUUAUUGAUCCUUUCUGUUUGUACUUCCUCUAAGGAAUUUUGUCUUUGCAGUUGGAAUGCUACAUAUGUUAGUUUGUUUGGGAGCAACAAGCUGCUGCCCAUGUCUAUCCAGCUUGCUGGAAGUAUGCAUGAUUGAGUUUAAAAAAGUCAAUGCUCCUCAUACUUCUGUUUGAAUGACACUAUGAAUGCUUAUGUAAAACUGGCAGGAAAUGGUAGUAAAAAAUUGUAAUUAGGUUGAUUUAAAGUUAUAGUUUUAUUUGAAUAUGUAAUUUGAGUAGUAAAAAAUUGUAAUUUUCGAGGUGAACAUGAAACCUCAAUAAGUUGUGAAAACUAUAAAAAAAAUCAUGUAUUUUUUUUUGGUUGCAAAUAUAUGAACUUCUGUGUUACGAAUCGAUACUAUUUAUUUUUUUGAAAUCCUAUUUUUCUUUAUAGAAUUAGAACAAGACAUUAAUCUUAAAAUUUCCACAAGUGAAUUAAACCUGAAUUAAACUUGAAUUAAAUCUAUUGGUAACAAUUGAAUUAAAGCUGAAUUAAACUUGAAUUAAAUAUAUAUUACACAAAUGGUAACAAUUGAAUUAAACCUGAAUUAAACCUAAGCUAAAGUUGUAUUACACAAAUACUAACAAGUGACAAAGAGCUAUAUUACAAAAAUACUAACAAACCAAAAACAUACCAAGCAUCACCCAAAUUCCCCAACCUGACAAUUAUACUCAGCAAGACAUUUCCAAGCCUCAAGCUCAACUGAGUUAUUCCAGUAAACUAUAUCAUUUCAUCUAUAUAUCAUAUAAAAUGUAACUAUACACAUAGAAACAUUCCAGUAAACUGAAUAACAUGAGAUUGCACAACUAAGAAAGCAUUCUAUUAAACUGAAUAACACGAGAUUGCGGAACUAAACAAAUUAUUUUUUUAUUCUUGAUCAUAAGGCCUGACAUUUUUGCAAGUCUUCCUGUUGUGAUCAUGUUGUCCACAAUUACUGCAUGUAAUUUUCGCCUUCUUGAAUCCAUCUUCUCUCAGUUGAGUAUGUCUUUUAUUUUUUGGCCUUCCCGGAGGUCUCUUUCCAUGAGGUGGAAGUACAAUAUCUUGAAGAACAUGUGUUGGUGUGUUCCAUGUACUUUCAUUUGGCAGGGGAUCCAUUUGAAAUUGAUAUGUCAACAAUAAAUUUUUUCUUGUAUAGUAAGCCGAACAAUAUUUCUCAUAACCAGUGUGUUUUAUUGUUAAAACGGCCAAAGCAUGUGGACAUGGUAACUCAUCCAAUUGAAAUCUCCCACAUGUGCAUGUACGUUGGUGAAGACAUACUGUGAAUUGUGUAAUACCAUCAAGUACGGUAUACACAUAUUUAUUUGUCUCUACAACCUAUGAAAAAAAAUAUAUUCAAGAGAGAUGUUAGAUAUGAAUCUGAAGAAAAAAUACUAGCAAACAGAUUAGGCAUACCUUUAAUUUCUCUGAUGCAGUUUUAUUGCGCCGCAAUAUAUUUUCAUACUUUUUUCCAAGGUGAAAACCUGAAAAUGUCGCCUUUGAUCUGUUAUUGUUAUUCCAUUUCUGUACAAGUUGUCUCAUGAAUUCCAAGAGUUGCAAGACUGUAAGAACUUUGGCAUGUCUUGUUCGUGAAUUGACUGAUUCUGCUAUAUUUGAUGUCAUCAUCCAAGUUCUGUUUACUUCAGCAUGCACACGCGACCAUUUGUUGUAUCCAAUGUUCAACAAGUAAUCUUUGAUCCUCUUAUCUAUCUUCUCAACCAUUGUCAUACAUUGAUUAAAUUCUGUCAUGGUGUAUGUUUUUGCCAUAGAGUAGAACAACUCAGUGACCCUUUGUUGACUUCUUCUGAAAUUUUUCAUUAUGUUUUGCAGUAAGUGCCACAUACAUGCAAAAUGAGGUACUUCAUCAUAAACUGUUGAAACUGCCUUAAUAAUGCUUGCAUGCCUAUCGGAAACGAUACACAUCUCUGGUCUUUGACCAAAUGCAUCUCUGAAUUGCUCAAAAAACCACCCCCAAGAUGAAUCAUUCUCUGAAUCGACAAUAGCAUAAGCAAGUGGCAAUAUACUCCCUGCACCAUGUACACUUUUUUUAAUACAAGUUUAAUACAUUUUUACUGCAAUCAUAAUUCAAUUUUAAUACAUAGUUCAAAAAUUCAAUAUAAAAAACAGUAUCAUAUUCGAAAGUCUGACCUGCUGCAUCUAAGGUAUUAGCGGUUAACAGUGUCCCUUUGUAUGCUCCUUUUAAGAAAGUUCCAUCAACAACUACAAUUGGUCUACAAUAUUCCCAUCCUUUUAUCGAGGUGAACAAAGCUACAAACGCAUAUAAAAAACGGUCAUCCUCUGAUUUGUGAAAUCUUAUAUGAGAACCAGGGUAAGUCGCCUCUAGUAUGUGAAAGUAGCUUGGCAACUUUGCAUAUGAUUGAAUUGGAUCACCCCGGAUUAAUUCAAGAGCUGCUUCUUUAGCUCUCCAAGCUUGCAUAUAUGUGAGUCGCACACCAUAUUCAGCUAACAUGUCAUGUUGUAUGUCUUUUGGUGUGUAAUUAGCAUCUGGUUCAGCAUAUUUACCCACAAUAAUACUCCCAACAACACUCUUAGUUGCUAGCCUUUCCGAUAAUGAAUUAUGUAGCAACAAACAAGUGUGUUCGCUUUCAAAUUCUCUAAUCUUGAACAUUUCAGAUUUGUUCAAGCUUGAAGCUCGUAAACUCCAACUGCAGCUUUCUCCUAGGCACUGUAUCGAAUAGCUGUAGAAAAAAUAUUAAUACACAAUUAAUAAUUUAAAGUGACUUGAAUUUAGGUCUUACCUUAUUGCGCUUGAUCUUGUUGUCUUGAAUUGAAAAUGAUUAAGAAUGGAAUGUCUUUUUAGUGCACUAGUGAGGACAUAUUUAUUCUUAUACACCUGAUCUUUUUCAAAUAAAGAGUGAUUGGGAUUAAUAAUGAUGCCUGGUGCUAAUUCUUCUAGCUCAUCAACUUCCUCACAUGAUCCGAAUCCAAUUAACCCUAUUGCUUCAUCAAUACCAUUAAAUGUAUUAGAGAAGUAUGAAUUGUGUAUAACCCUCAUAUCUCCUGAAGUGUCUGAACACAAAAGUGGAAUGAGUGCAGCAUUAGUCUCCAAGUUGACUGGUUCAGUUGUUGUGACACAUAAAGGGUAUCUUGUCAUAUCUCGAUGUUCCUUUUUAGUUUCAAGAUAUACCUUUACCCCCAUAUCAUUAUGAAUUUGAAUUGGAGGAGACCUUUCAUCAAUUUUAUAUCUUAUUUCAACUUUACUUGUUGAUGUGUCUAUUGACAAUUGAGUAGCAAUUACAGAAACGAGGGUGGCAAACGUUGACUCUGUGUGUAUCAACACACCAUCUGCCAAGUAGUUAAUAUAUUUGUUGCUAGGAUCCCAUCGUCCAUUGAAGUAAAGCAUCACCGCUAUAUUAGUCAUAUUUUUUCUGCACAUCAUUAAAGAGUGUAUUACUAUUAUUAAAAGACUAGAGAGAGACAUAUAGAUUAAUCUGCUAGAAGAGCAUCACUUUGCUAACAACUAAAUUAAAUCUUAAUAAAAUCUAAAUUAAAAAUUUAUCACACAAAUCCUAACAAGUGAAUCAAACAUGAAAAUAAGUUGUAUUACACAGAUGCUAACAAGUGAAUUAAAACUGAAUUGAAGUUGAAUUACACAUAUGCAAAGAAGUGAAUUAAACCUGAAUUAAAGUUGUAUUACACAGAUGCUAACAAGUGAAUUAAAACUGAAUUGAAGUUGAAUUACACAUAUGCUAACAAGUGAAUUAAACUUGAAUUAAAGUUGUAUUACACAGAUGUUAACAAGUGAAUUAAAUCAGAAUUAAAGUUGUAUUACACGGAUGCUAACAAGUGAACCAAAACUGAAUUGAAGUUGUAUUGUACAAAUGCUAACAAGUGAAUUAAACAUGAAUUAAAGCUGUAUUACAAAUGCUAACAAGUGAAUUAAACUUGAAUUAAAAUUGUAUUAGACAGAUGCUAACAAGUGAACUAAAACUGAAUUGAAGUUGAAUUACACAUAUGCUAACAAGUGAAUUAAACCUGAAUUAAACUUGAAUUAAAAUUGUAUUACACAGAUGCUAACAAGUGAACUAAAACUGAAUUGAAGUAUUACACAAAUGCUAAAAAGUGAAUUAAACCUGAAUUAAAGUUGUAUUACACAGAUGCUAACAAGUAAAAUAAAACUGAAUUGAAUUUGUAUUACACAAAUGCUAAAAAGUGAAUUAAACAUGAAUAUACAGAUGCUAACAAGAGAUCAUACUUAUUAGAGAAGAGAACUGAAUACCAGACACUCACAGGAACUUGAAUCAAACAAAAUCUCAACAUAAAUCAUCAAACAAAAAGGCACACAAGUAGCGUAAACAUAAAUCUCAACAUAAAUCCACACAAAAAGAAGAAAGGCGUAACGAUCUGGGCACUGUCAAGACCACAAUUACAAGCUCACAUUAAAGGAUCAGUUAAGUGCAAAGUAGACCAACAAAAAUCGCAGAAUGCAGUGCAAGUAACCUAAAUUAACAGAUCUUACUCAACACUAACCUUUAAAUUGCAAUGGCGAGAGAAAAUUGAAGUCGCCGGAAAAAAAUUGCAGUUGCGAGAGAGAGAGAAAAAAUUGCAGUCGCGAGAGAGAAGAAAAAAUUGCAGUCGCGAGAGAAGAAAAAAUUGCAAUUGCAGGCGUGGGAAAAUUUUGAGGCGAGAGAAAAAAUAUGAAGUUGAAUAUUCAAUUAAAUUGACAUUUAUGGUUAAAAAAAUAAUACUGACAAAUAUGGUAAUUAUUUUUUAAAAAGUAGACACACAAGUUAUUUUCCCUUAAUUAUUGUAUAACUUACAUAAAUCACAUAGUGUUAGAAAUAAAUUACAUCUUAUCCCUAAUUUUAUUCUAAUUACAAUAAUCUCUUAAAAUUUCUACUUUUCUGAUACAUAACUUAACAUCCGGAUACAUUAAUUCUGAUACAAGAAAAAUCUGUUUGUUGAGCUAAAAAAGGGAACAAAAUCUUUUCUGUUGCGCUUAAAAUGGAAAAGACACAUAAAAUUAACUAUUCAAUCCAUAAAUUACUCAAUUAAUUUAUUUUCACUGCUAAUCAGUCUCUACCAAAGCAAAACAGCUUCAAAAAUUUCAAAUUUCUUCUCCCAAAUUGUUAAAAAUCUUUUAUAUUUUGAUUCAAAAUUAUUGAAAAAUUGAGUUGAUACAUUAUGAAUAUCUCUAUUUUAUUGAGAGAUUCAAGAAUCUAAGAAAGAGAGAUGAGUUUAAUCAAACAUUGUAGCUUGGAGAUUGAUGAGUCGAGAAAAAUAUGAAGAUUCGAUUCAUUACAGAGACGAGUGUUAUUUUAUCCCUAUACAAUUGUCUGACGAUACUAUCAUAAUAAUUUUAGAUUCAAAAUUCUUCUCCGUGUUCAUUGAAAAUUCGUUCAGUUUUGUUAUUAUUCAUAUUCUUCCAGUAACAUCAGCUGGGCAAAAUUAUGGUGAAGUUUUGAGUAAAAUUUUUUUAUUUUACGGAGCUGAGAGAUCUGGGUAUCUUCCUCAUAACCAGAGAGUUCAAUGAAAGGGUAAUUCUGGACUUAAUGAUGAAAAAUCUAGUGUGGUAUGUUAUAAAAUUAAUUAGCUAUAUUUUAGUUGUGAAUGGUUUGUGAUGAAUUUGAGUUUUGAUUUUUUUGCGGGAUACUUUUGCAGAUUGAUUUGGUUGAAAGUCAUUAUGAUGUUAGUAAUAAUGUGGAUCUAGUUUGUCAAUGGAUUGUUUUCAUGGAGUAUUUUGGAAUAUGGUAGAUAAUUGGUGCUAGUGAAGAACUUAGUCAUGCUAUGGAUGUUUUUAAGUGGGUUAAUGUUUAUUUACUCAAAGCUCAUUCUGAACCUUAUCUUCAUCACGGGAGAUGUUGUGUAGUUGAUUUUUUAUUGAUCUCGAGAUAUUGUGUAAUCGAUUUUUUGUGAAUAGUUGCAUCAUUGGUUAUUGUAAUGUAUUCGGUUGUUGAUUUUAGAUUGACACAAUAGUGUUAUUAAGUAUCAAAUACCAUUUUAGUUGCCAAAAGAAAGGAUAUUUAAUUGUAAUUUGUAUUAAUGUAUCAUGGUCAUUAAUAUAUAUCAAAUACAUUUGAUACACAUUCGCCAUUAAUAUGUAUUUGUAUUGGUUGUCAAUCUGAAACUUUUACUUCCUCCGGAGGUUGUGGAAUGUGUUGCAUAAUGAAUCAUAAAAAUUAUAAUGUAAGAGUUAAAAAGAUAAAUAUCAUAAUUUAAUACAUAAUAAAGCAGUCAACAUUGUCAAUGUUAUGUAUCAUAUACCUAUUAUUGAAACUGAUACAUAGUGCUCUAAUUAUAGAACAUUGUGACUUAUGUAUCAAGGUUAUUAUGGAACAAUAUAUAAAUAUACAUAUACAUAGCCUUCUAAAUUGGAUAAGACUGAACAAACACGAAAAAUUGUAGAUACAUAACAUACAACUGAUUUGGUACUGUCUAUAUAGCCGUUAAAACUUGAAUAGGAUUGAAGAUACAUUGUAGAACUCGACACAUAUAAAUGAUAUACUAGGUAAUGUUUAUGUCUCAAAUACAUUUAUAUUGAGUAGGAUAAUUAUACACAACAACGAUAUCAGAAAAUUGUAGAUGAAAAAUCUAUAAAAAUAAUAUUUAAACGAUAAUUCAAGAACUAGAGAUUUUUUUGAUGAAGAAAUAGUUCUAUCGCUUUAGGGACAAGAAAUUAAUAAACUAGAGAGAGGAUAAAUUUGAAAUUCAAAAAUUGGAGUGAUGAAGAUAAUUGCUAAUCUAUGGGAGUGAUUUCCGUGAAAAUAGGAACAAAAAUCUUUGUGUUAGAGAGUUGUAAAUUAUGUAUCUAGAAAAGGUGAGAAGGAAAGGAAAAUAACGAUUUUUGUAAUAUUUUGAAAUGAUAGAGAAUUUUAGAAAAUAUGAAAAUAAAGAUUGUGUAGUUAAGCAAUUUUUCCUUAAUUAUAACCCAUUAAAUACAAUUUAUUUAUUUUUAAUCUUGUUAUAAAUUAUUAAUGGCGUAAUUUGAAAGGUAAAAUACUAGUUUUUUUUUAUAGUAUUUGAAAACUUGCAAUAUUUGAAAAAAUAUGUUUACCACGUAAUGGCAAGUUGGUAUAACCAAGCCCCAUUUUUUCAAGUUCUUCCCGAAUAUAUUAAUGGUCAAACAGAUCCUAAAUAUUUAGACUUUUCUCACGCCUUCUCAUCAAUUAAGAUAGAAAUGUGAAAUGAUGCAAAUUCACCUUUCAUUAUGUAUCUCCAUCUUAAAGCCUCUUUAUUUACUACACAUUUUUUUUAUUUGGAAAAUAAAACUGAGAGUGUUUUCUCCCGACUCUCUCUAUUUUACCACUAAUCUCUAAUUAUAUAGAAUUAAAUACUAGUUCUCCAAAUCUACCACAAACAUUAGUUAUAACUUUGAAGAGAGGCAAGGGAAUAAACAAUUCAUGGUUUUGUGAAAGAACCAAAAAUAGCACAAUUAACACAUCGUGAAAUGGAGAUGAAUUUAUCAAGAACACAUAAAAACUACAAUCGAAUCAAAGGCAAAUUGGAAGUCAUAUGCGGAAAAAUCAAUUUACACAGGCACUUCACUUAAGCUGAAAGUUGGUCACAAAGGUAAGGUAGUACAGGUAUGGAGGACCACUGAAACUUGUUAUCCAUUCUUGAGAUUUGAAAGUAAAAAAUAAAGACGAUUAAUUGUGGGAAGGAAGAAAAUGAAUCGAGUUUUUACAAAUCGUUACAAGGGAGAUACUCGACGUAUUUUGAUGAUUUAUGAUACAUCGGAGAUAGGACUAAGUUAAGGGAACUUCAUGCUGUCAUACCUGAUAUAUACUUUUGUAAAAGCAAAAGAGAAGAUACAGAGAAUAAAUCUAGAUUUCUUUUUGUUUUCCAUCUUAUUUUUUAGGCUUUGGAAGAGAACUAGCCCACUAGGUCAAAUUAGAAGAAAAAAAAGUAUCUAUUUCAUUGUUUAUAUAACUUAGUACAAAACUAAGAUGUUUCUAAUCCUCAAUAAUUAUUGCAUCUUCUUCUGAUGGGUACAAAACAAUAAAAGAAUCAAUACAAUAGUUUUUAAAGUAAUACACUAUUUUUUCAUUAUUAAUGCUCAGAUAUUCUGAACACAAUCUGCUGGAAAUCCCUGUGGAAAUCGCUUUGAAUCAGUGCAGUAAUCAUAAACCAUGUAAUUCUUCUGCACCCAUUUGAGCCUCUCUUGGCUUGUGUUAUCUAACUCUUCAUUCAACCAUGAAUUGCUUGUUGAAGUUGCAGAAAUGGAACUGCAAGAAGAUGAAGAAGUGGGAAUACAAGCAUUAGCACUGAAGUUUCUGUAAGAAGCACUAAAGGGUGCUUGGCUCCAAUCAGUCUUAACAAGGCCUCCUCUUGUAGCCCAAUCAUCAGCAUUCCAAAGACUCGAAUAUAUCCUCAUGGGUUGGUUCUUUGGAUAUGAAACUCCAAUCGAUUCACUAUUCUUGUAUUCUCUAAUUGGCGUUCCGUCCACAUAAAAUCUGUUUCAACCAUAAAAAUAAGAGACCCCAAAUCAAGAUUUAUCGCAAAAGAAUGUGUUAGAUUUGAAGAAAGUUUGAAUGUUUAACUACUUACAUGAUGCGUUGUGGAUUCCAAGUGAUGGCAUAAGUGUGGAAAUCAGCAGUAGGGUCAAACCAAAGAUGAAAUUGUUGUUCUCUGUUUCCUUUGCCUUGACUAAAUACAUUAGUAUGGAGAGUAUAAGGAUCACCACUUAAAUUUCCCAAGAAUUCAAAAUCUAUCUCAUCAUGUGUUGGUCCUUGUGACGACAACUGCAAUAAAAGAGUUCAAUUUCAGGGGAUAUUCAUGUAUAUAUAUAUAGCUCAAAAAUCAUUCAGAAAUUAAGGGAAUUACUUACAUAGUAAGCAGUGACAGUGCCAGCAGAAUUUCUUGGGACAAGUUUGAGCUGCAUGUCAAUUUUACCAAACAGAUAUUCAUUCUUGGAUUGAAAACCAGAGCCUGAGAUUUUGUCAAGUGAGAGAGUAAGGAGGUCGCCAUUGUUAAGUAUUUUUGCUCUGCCAUCACCCCAUGUAAUGUCGAAUUCUUGAUCAAACUUGGCCCCAAUUGCAAUGCCAAAAGCACUAAUCAUAAAACACAUUACAAGUACUAACUUAGAAGAAGAAGAAGCCAUGUUUAACUGUUAAGAUUUCAAAGUUUGUUGGAUGAAUUUGAGUUGAAUAGUUAUAUGGGGUUUUAUAGGGAUUUAUACCACCCCAACCUCAGCAAUAAAGAAGUAGGUAGAGCAGAGCGUGUGGGGUUAGGCUUGAGGAAGCAAAGAGGAAGGUUAAGUAAAACAGAAAACAAGGGAAAAAAUAAAGAUUUUGAGCUGGAAACAGGAUUAAAGUGACGGCAUCAAAGCUAAGUGACAGACAGACCAUAUAUUAUACUCUCACUCCUAAUUAUUUGGCUACUUUUAAAUGUGUUAAUUAUUGAUAUAAUAAAUUUACUAUUAGUGAAUGAUCAAAACAAUUAAAAUUUUCAAUAAAGUUUAUUUUUUAAAAAAUAUUUAAUUAAAAAUAUAAUAAGUAAACUUUUUAAAUUUAUUUUAAAAAAUGAACAAGUAGAGGGAGGGUGGAUAUUUCCAACCGUCAAAUUAUAUUUACAUAGCUGAUAAGUUUAAGAGAGAGUAUUGCUUAUAUUUGUAAUUUUGCUUUAAAUUAUUUUUAUUUUUUAAGAUAAUUUAAAAAUAACUAAAAGGUCAAAAAUAUAAAGUGAUAGUUCAAUUUAUGUCCUAAAUUAUAUUUCUUAAUGGGGUGCAUCCUCUCGAAAAUUUAGUUAAUACGAACUAUAAGGAGUAUAACCUAGUAAUUAGAUAGUAUAGUAAUUAUAAUGAUUUGCUUAUUUGGCAUGAUUUAUUGAUAGUGUACUUAAAAAUAUUUUUUUGAUUGCACAAAUAUAAUUAUAUAAUUAAGGAAAAAUACACAAGUACUCUCCUAUCUAUGUUUGAAAUUUUUUAGAGACACACUUUGUUGGAAUUCUUACCCCUAAAAUUGUCUAAGGAACAUGUUUAUUUCAUAUGUUCAUUUGUAGAUUACAGCAGUUACGUUUUGUGAAACAAAUAAAAUAAUAACAUAAUAUUUUAUCGCGGAAAACCUCAACUUUUAAGGGUAAAAACCACGACCUACACCUCUGUAGAAUUUAACUCCACUUUAUUAAACUUCAAGUCUCAACAAAAGAUUACAAAGCUAUGUAAUCUAAAGAAUUAUAAACUCUAAUUCCUAGCUAAGAAAUUAUAAACUCUAAUUUCUAGCUACCCACAGACAUAGAACCCCCGGUUUUAUAUCUUCUAAUGUUCUUCAAGUUCUACAACUUGUCAAACAACUCCUACUCACAAAACUCAUAUUGUAAUCAUAACUCUUAAUUACAAUCUUACAGUUCUCUUUCACAAAUUGCAAUAUUCCUAAUAAAUCUCAAAACUCUCUCAGACCUCUUGAUCGUAUUUUGAUCUUUUCUCUAUGUAAGUGCACAAUUUUUCUCAAGCGAAACUAUCGUCUAUUUAUAGAUUUGGAAUUGAAUCAAAAACCUAUUUCAACUAGAAAUCCUACUUCAUGUAGGACUGCUCUUUUGUGUAGAACCUAGUUCAACUUGAAUUUGUCUUCGCCGCAUCUUCAACUCCUUGUCUGAAUCAACAUUGUCUUUGCCUUUAUAAAACCUUGUUAAGUUCAACUUGAAUUCUUUAUCAUUGUUUGUCUUUGUUGCAACCGCUUCUUCGUUCUUCUUAAACUUAUGCUAUCGUCUCAAGAAAAACUUAUACUUAAUUUUCCUUAAAUAAGUUGCAAGGAAAACUUACAAUCAAUUUCCUUAAUUAAAAAAGAAAAUCUUCCACAAAAUUUCCUUAAUUAAAUAAGAAAAACCUUCGACAAAAAUUUCCUUAUACAUUGCCAUAAAGUUUCCUUAAUUAAAUAAGAAAACAUUAUUGAACGCUAUUUCCUUUUUCAACUUGGUUGCGAACUCCUUUAUAAAAGGAAACGUAUGUACUGGUUGCUUGUCGAAAAAGCAAUACUUCCACAGCUUUAUAUCUUCUAAUUCGCGAGGUUGACUUUCUCCUUAUCCAAGUCGGAUUCAGUCUGUAAGAGACACGUCAAACAAUCCGUUUCUUUUAUCUGAUCCUGUAUUUGUCAAUUAUCAAAAUCUUUCUCAUUUUAACAAAUUCCCCCUUUUAGAUGAUGACAAACAAUGCAUUACGAACACAACAAAUAAGACGCACAUCUUCCCUUUUUUGCCAAGUUACUGCUAGAGCUUCUUAACUUUGUCAUACUUCAAAACAACGAGACUUUAACACACUUACCUUAUACUAAAGUCCUAUUAUCACCCUGAACUUAUUUUAUAAAUAAUUUUUAUCCCUUUUCAGCCUACGUGGCACUAGCUUAAAAAAAAUGUCAACACACAAUGGGCCCACAAGAUAGUGUCACGUAGAUCUAAAAGGAGAGAAAAGUACUUAUAAAAUAAGUUCAGGGAGAUACUUGUGCAUUUUCCCUAUAAUUAAUUAUGAGCUUGUGUUUGACUCCAAAUUUUCAAAUAUGCUUGGCAAAUCAUUUUUAGUUGAAGUUUCACCAUCUGUUUGACCAUAAAAUUUUGAGAGAAAUAUUUAACUAUUUCAAAAAAUAUAAUCUAUACUCAUAACAAAAAAGAAACUAUAAUUUUGUAUUAUCAUUUUAAAAUGAACAUAUUCGUUAAAAUAUAGCCCUAUAACAUAAUUGAUAAGAAAAGCAACAAAAAAGUGUGCAUGAGCAGAACCAAGAAAAAGGAGAUUCAGAGAAGUAAAAUUUCGAAAUUGCACAAAAAGAAAAUAAAAUAAAACAAACAAAACAAAAGAGAUGGUUCAUAAAAGUAAAAUGAACAAUGAACAAACAAUUGCAUAAAAAGAAAACAAACAAUCAAAAUAACAAAGGGAAAACGAAAAACCUACCAAUUUGAAGCUUCAAAAAGUUGAGGUGUAGAAGUUAGCUGAGAAGGCGAUGGUUUACUUUUUAUUAGUUUGAUUUUUGUAUAAAUCUAAAGAUAAACAUGCAAAAUUAAUACAUGUUGAACAAUCAAUAAAAGAGGAACAAAAAGAGUCAUGAUACUUGUAAAAUGGGUAUUAAGAGCAAUACCUUAAUUGCACAUUUAAACUUGUCACUGACUAAGAAUUAAUUAUAAUCCAUUAAAUACAAUUUUUUUUUUCAAUCCUGUUAUAAGUUAUUAAUGGCGUAAUUUGAACGAUAAAAUACUAGUUUUUUUUUAUAGUAUUUGAAAACUUGGGAAAAAUAUGUUUACCAAGUAGUGGCAAGUUGGUAUAACCAAGCACCAUUUUUUCAAGUUCUUCCCAAAUAUAUUAAUGGUCAAACAUAUCCUAAAUAUUUAGACUUUUCUCACGCCUUCUCAUCAACUAAGAUAUAAAUCUAAAAUGAUGUAAAAUUCACCUUUCAUAAUGUAUCUCCAUCUCAAAGUCUCUUUAUUUUACUAUGCAUUUUCUUUAUUUGAAAAAUAAAAUUGAGGGUGUUUUCUCCAGACUCUCUCUAUUUCACUACUAAUUUCUAAUUUAUAUAAAAUUGAAUACUAGUUCUCUAAAUCAACCACAAAUAUUAGUUAUAGCUUUGAAGAGAGGCAAAGGAAUAAACAAUUCAUGGUUUUGUGAAAGAACCAAAAAUAGCACAAUUAACACAUCGUGAAAUGGAGAUGAAUUUAUCAAGAACACAUAAAAACUACAAUCGAAUCAAAGGCAAAUUGGAAGUCAUAUGCGGAAAAAUCAAUUUACACAGGCACUUCACUUAAGCUGAAAGUUGGUCACAAAGGUAAGGUAGUACAGGUAUGGAGGACCACUGAAACUUGUUAUCCAUUCUUGAGAUUUGAAAGUAAAAAAUAAAGAUUAUUAAUUGCGGAAAGGGAGAAAAAUAUAUCAAUUUUUUUACAAACGUUACAAGGGAGAUACUCGACGUAUUUUGAUGAUUUACGAUACAUCGUAGAUAGGACUAAGUUAAGGGAACUUGAUGCUGUCAUACCUGAUAUAUACUUUUGUAAAAGCAAAAGAGAAGAUACAGAGAAUAAAUCUAGAUUUCUUUUUGUUUUCCAUCUUAUUUUUUAGGCUUUGGAAGAGAACUAGCCCACUAGGUCAAAUUAGAAGAAAAAAAAGUAUCUAUUUCAUUGUUUAUAUAACUUAGUACAAAACUAAGAUGUUUCUAAUCCUCAAUAAUUAUUGCAUCUUCUUCUGAUGGGUACAAAACAAUAAAAGAAUCAAUACAAUAGUUUUUAAAGUAAUACACUAUUUUUUCAUUAUUAAUGCUCAGAUAUUCUGAACACAAUCUGCUGGAAAUCCCUGUGGAAAUCGCUUUGAAUCAGUGCAGUAAUCAUAAACCAUGUAAUUCUUCUGCACCCAUUUGAGCCUCUCUUGGCUUGUGUUAUCUAACUCUUCAUUCAACCAUGAAUUGCUUGUUGAAGUUGCAGAAAUGGAACUGCAAGAAGAUGAAGAAGUGGGAAUACAAGCAUUAGCACUGAAGUUUCUGUAAGAAGCACUAAAGGGUGCUUGGCUCCAAUCAGUCUUAACAAGUCCUCCUCUUGUAGCCCAAUCAUCUGCAUUCCAAAGACUCGAAUAUAUCCUCAUGGGUUGGUUCUUUGGAUAUGAAACUCCAAUCGAUUCACUAUUCUUGUAUUCUCUAAUUGGCGUUCCGUCCACAUAAAAUCUGUUUCAACCAUAAAAAUAAGAGACCCCAAAUCAAGAUUUAUCGCAAAAGAAUGUGUUAGAUUUGAAGAAAGUUUGAAUGUUUAACUACUUACAUGAUGCGUUGUGGAUUCCAAGUGAUGGAAUACGUGUGGAAAUCAGCAGUAGGGUCAAACCAAAGAUGAAAUUGUUGUUCUCUGUUUCCUUUGCCUUGACUAAAUACAUUAGUAUGGAGAGUAUAAGGAUCACCACUUAAAUUUCCCAAGAAUUCAAAAUCUAUUUCAUCAUGUGUUGGUCCUUGUGAUGACAACUGCAAUAGAAGAGUUGAAUUUCAGGGGAUAUUCAUGUAUAUAUAGCUCAAAAAUGAUUCAGAAAUUAAGGGAAUCACUUACAUAGUAAGCAGUGACAGUGCCAGCAGAAUUUCCUGGGACAAGUUUGAGCUGCAUGUCAAUUUUACCAAACAGAUAUUCAUUCUUGGGUUGAAAACCAGAGCCAGAGAUUUUGUCAAGUGAGAGAGUAAGGAGGUCGCCAUUGUUAAGUAUUUUUGCUCUGCCAUCACCCCAUGUAAUGUCGAAUUCUUGAUCAAACUUGGCCCAAUUGCAAUGCCAAAAGCACUAAUCAUAAAACACAUUACAAGUACUAACUUAGAAGAAGAAGCCAUGUUUAACUGUUAAGAUUUCAAAGUUUGUUG
rnacentral:lncRNA from 1 species